CCGCGGGCUUCCGGGUGGUGGCUCUGGGUCGCAGCCGGCCGUUAGUGCGUUCUGGAGAUCAGAGUGGCCAAAAGAGGAAGUUUUCAAGGUGCCUGCAGUUGUCCUUUGCCUACUUGUGACCUCUGGAGACAGUAUGGUCACCGCGUUCGCAGUCAGUUUGGGCGCCUGUACUUGCUCUCCUGUCUUCCCGGAGUCUGGCUUUGUUCUUCCUAACCUUCAUUUUACCAGCCACUUCUCUUCCUACGUUUUGGGGGAGAAAGGAAUGCAACAGCCACCCUUAAAUGUAGGGCCUGAAAGAGGGUUAGUGGAAGAAGCCACUGGAAAUAACAAAAGUUUUCUUCUAGUCUGGCAAGACUUUCCUUUGGACAGCGGCCCAGAGAUGGGAACUUGAGAGGUUGAGCAGUCUUAGUUGAUGAUGAGCAAGAUCGUUGCUGGUGGCUGGAUACCGGAGAGUAAUUCCAAGGCGGCGAAGCAACUCCUGGAAAACUGGUGGUUUUUCAAACUGUAAAAUUCUGCACAUUGUGCACCCUAGGGCACAGCCCCUAUUUAGUGAAUAUAAAAAUCGAAGCAUAUUAUUAAGCUAUUCCCCCCUCCCUAAAUAAAAGUUUUGUUUACAGCAA
rnacentral:lncRNA from 1 species